rnacentral:rRNA from 1 species
UACGUAGGGUGCGAGCGUUGUCCGGAAUUAUUGGGCGUAAAGAGCUCGUAGGCGGCUUGUUGCGUCGACUGUGAAAGCCCGUGGCUUAACCGCGUGGUCUGCAGUCGAUACGGGCAGGCUAGAGUUCGGUAGGGGAGACUGGAAUUCCUGGUGUAGCGGUGAAAUGCGCAGAUAUCAGGAGGGAACACCGGUGGCGAAGGCGGGUCUCUGGGCCGAUACUGACGCUGAGGAGCGAAAGCGUGGGGGAGCAAACAGG